UACGUAGGGUGCGAGCGUUGUCCGGAAUUACUGGGCGUAAAGAGCUCGUAGGUGGUUUGUCGCGUUGUUCGUGAAAACCGGGGGCUUAACCCUCGGCGUGCGGGCGAUACGGGCAGACUUGAGUACUGCAGGGGAGACUGGAAUUCCUGGUGUAGCGGUGAAAUGCGCAGAUAUCAGGAAGAACACCCGUGGCGAAGGCGGUUCUCUGGGACGGUACUGACGCUGAGGAGCGAAAGCGUGGGGAGCGAACAGG
rnacentral:rRNA from 1 species